rnacentral:rRNA from 1 species
UACGUAGGGUGCGAGCGUUGUCCGGAAUUAUUGGGCGUAAAGAGCUUGUAGGCGGUUUGUCGCGUCUGCUGUGAAAACCCGAGGCUCAACCUCGGGCCUGCAGUGGGUACGGGCAGACUAGAGUGAUGUAGGGGAGACUGGAAUUCCUGGUGUAGCGGUGAAAUGCGCAGAUAUCAGGAGGAAUACCGAUGGCGAAGGCAGGUCUCUGGGCUGACACUGACGCUCAUGCACGAAGACGUGGGGAGCAAACAGG